rnacentral:rRNA from 1 species
UACGUAGGUGGCAAGCGUUAUCCGGAUUUAUUGGGCGUAAAGGGAACGCAGGCGGUCUUUUAAGUCUGAUGUGAAAGCCUUCGGCUUAACCGGAGUAGAGCAUUGGAAACUGGGAGACUUGAGUGCAGAAGAGGAGAGUGGAACUCCAUGUGUAGCGGUGAAAUGCGUAGAUAUAUGGAAGAACACCAGUGGCGAAAGCGGCUCUCUGGCCUGUAACUGACACUGAGGCUCGAAAGCGUGGGGAGCAAACAGG